UUAAAUUCAAAGAUCAACAGGGAUUCUUCAACAUUCAGCUUAACUGAUGCACAGACAUGGGGCUGGGAAACACAAUCCUCCUUUGUUGAGCAAAGUCCAUGCCAACAAAGUCAGCAGUUUGAAGUGGUUGAACCAGCAGCUCAAGUCCCAAACCAUCACCAGAUGGAGGGCCAGCAGUAUAAGCCCACAGCAGACUGUAAGGAUGGAUUACUUCAGAUUUGAAAUGAUCCAAAACAAAUGGCUGCAAGCUUAGCAGAAUCCAUCCCUCUAUUGCAGUGCAAAUUUAGCUGCUAAUUCAGCACACACCACUUUUUGAGUGCAACACCACAACUGCUCUUUUUGCAGAGUAUCUGAUCAGAGAAGUGGAAAGCUGGUGUCAAAUAAUAAGUUCAAGCUUAAGUCAAUGUCACACAAAUGCAAGAAAGAAACCUUGGUGCAGAAUAAAAAUGGAAAGUC